AUCCACGAUGCCUUGCUGCGACUUCAAUCGUUGAUUGCUUCGAAUCGAUGUAACAAAGCUUGGUUUGUAAAUCUGAUUUUUACUAGAUUUUUGUUGAAUUCAUUUCGAAAAUCAAAUAUUUUAGUAGAUAUUUGUGAGAUCUGAUCUGAAAAUCAAAUAUCUCACAUCCUUCAUUUGAGGUCCAAUCUGGAGAUCAGAUAUCUCACAUCUUUCAUUUGAGAUCCAAUCC
rnacentral:lncRNA from 1 species